AUUUCCACAAAUAAAUGAAUACAUUAUGAUUUGAAUAAAUAUAUCUAUAGAUUAAAUUAUAUAAUAUAGUCAUAGAAUAGCUUGGAUAUAAUACAGGUACAAAAAAAAAGCACUGUCUCACAAGUACACAUAUAUACAAUUUUAUUUAACUACUACUAUAAUUAUGAAUGUACACAAGUUAUUUAUUUGACAUUAUUUCAAACAUUCUAGGUAAACCUGCCUAUGUGCAAAAUGCGAAAGAUCCUGAUUAGGUACUUUUAGAAUAGCCCAAGGGGUUUCAUGAUGAAAGUGCACACCAGAGAAUACCGCUGCAAUGUGUAAUCAAACCGACAGAAGGGAUAUCUUCAGUCAUUUUAAAUAAUAAUAAAGAUAUCGCCCUGUUUCAUGCAAUAGCCACCAGCUUAUAUUUUUUGUUGGCAGACACGUAUAUGGUGCCGGAAAUGCCUUUGGUGUACAAAUUUAUAGACUUGUGUAUUAUCAUCUGGAGAUGCAAAACAAAUGUGUGUCUUGAAGGAAACAUGAAUUUUGUAUUUUGUACUACAGUGAUAUCCUCAACACUAUCAACUAGAGAAAGAACUAGUCAGUAUGACCAAUGAACUGGUCAUGAUGAAAGAGCAAGAAUCAGUGGCACCUUUAGGUUUGUUUUGUCUUUUUUCCCCCAAUUCGAUGCUUAAGUCCAUUGGAAAGACAGACUUAGAAAAAAAAAAACACAUUUAUAAGAAAAAAAAAUAGGGGGGGGGGGGAGGAAUUGCAAGACACUUUAGGAAC